AAAAUCUUGACAUCCUUUGACCGCUCUAGAGAUAGAGUCUUCCCCUUCGGGGGACAAAGUGACAGGUGGUGCAUGGUUGUCGUCAGCUCGUGUCGUGAGAUGUUGGGUUAAGUCCCGCAACGAGCGCAACCCUUAAGCUUAGUUGCCAUCAUUAAGUUGGGCACUCUAAGUUGACUGCCGGUGACAAACCGGAGGAAGGUGGGGAUGACGUCAAAUCAUCAUGCCCCUUAUGAUUUGGGCUACACACGUGCUACAAUGGACAAUACAAAGGGCAGCUAAACCGCGAGGUCAAGCAAAUCCCAUAAAGUUGUUCUCAGUUCGGAUUGUAGUCUGCAACUCGACUACAUGAAGCUGGAAUCGCUAGUAAUCGUAGAUCAGCAUGCUACGGUGAAUACGUUCCCGGGUCUUGUACACACCGAAAAAAAAUGAUGCACG
rnacentral:rRNA from 1 species